CAACCCGAUGCAAACUGCGAAUACCGGAGAAUGUUAUCACGGGAGACACACGGCGGGUGCUAACGUCCGUCGUGAAGAGGGAAACAACCCAGACCGCCAGCUAAGGUCCCAAAGUCAUGGUUAAGUGGGAAACGAUGUGGGAAGGCCCAGACAGCCAGGAUGUUGGCUUAGAAGCAGCCAUCAUUUAAAGAAAGCGUAAUAGCUCACUGGUCGAGUCGGCCUGCGCGGAAGAUGUAACGGGGCUAAACCAUGCACCGAAGCUGCGGCAGCGACGCUGAUGCGUUGUUGGGUAGGGGAGCGUUCUGUAAGCCUGCGAAGGUGUGCUGUGAGGCAUGCUGGAGGUAUCAGAAGUGCGAAUGCUGACAUAAGUAACGAUAAAGCGGGUGAAAAGCCCGCUCGCCGGAAGACCAAGGGUUCCUGUCCAACGUUAAUCGGGGCAGGGUGAGUCGACCCCUAAGGCGAGGCCGAAAGGCGUAGUCGAUGGGAAACAGGUUAAUAUUCCUGUACUUGGUGUUACUGCGAAGGGGGGACGGAGAAGGCUAUGUUGGCCGGGCGACGGUUGUCCCGGUUUAAGCGUGUAGGCUGGUUUUCCAGGCAAAUCCGGAAAAUCAAGGCUGAGGCGUGAUGACGAGGCACUACGGUGCUGAAGCAACAAAUGCCCUGCUUCCAGGAAAAGCCUCUAAGCAUCAGGUAACAUCAAAUCGUACCCCAAACCGACACAGGUGGUCAGGUAGAGAAUACCAAGGCGCUUGAGAGAACUCGGGUGAAGGAACUAGGCAAAAUGGUGCCGUAACUUCGGGAGAAGGCACGCUGAUAUGUAGGUGAAGUCCCUCGCGGAUGGAGCUGAAAUCAGUCGAAGAUACCAGCUGGCUGCAACUGUUUAUUAAAAACACAGCACUGUGCAAACACGAAAGUGGACGUAUACGGUGUGACGCCUGCCCGGUGCCGGAAGGUUAAUUGAUGGGGUUAGCGCAAGCGAAGCUCUUGAUCGAAGCCCCGGUAAACGGCGGCCGUAACUAUAACGGUCCUAAGGUAGCGAAAUUCCUUGUCGGGUAAGUUCCGACCUGCACGAAUGGCGUAAUGAUGGCCAGGCUGUCUCCACCCGAGACUCAGUGAAAUUGAACUCGCUGUGAAGAUGCAGUGUACCCGCGGCAAGACGGAAAGACCCCGUGAACCUUUACUAUAGCUUGACACUGAACAUUGAGCCUUGAUGUGUAGGAUAGGUGGGAGGCUUUGAAGUGUGGACGCCAGUCUGCAUGGAGCCGACCUUGAAAUACCACCCUUUAAUGUUUGAUGUUCUAACGUUGACCCGUAAUCCGGGUUGCGGACAGUGUCUGGUGGGUAGUUUGACUGGGGCGGUCUCCUCCUAAAGAGUAACGGAGGAGCACGAAGGUUGGCUAAUCCUGGUCGGACAUCAGGAGGUUAGUGCAAUGGCAUAAGCCAGCUUGACUGCGAGCGUGACGGCGCGAGCAGGUGCGAAAGCAGGUCAUAGUGAUCCGGUGGUUCUGAAUGGAAGGGCCAUCGCUCAACGGAUAAAAGGUACUCCGGGGAUAACAGGCUGAUACCGCCCAAGAGUUCAUAUCGACGGCGGUGUUUGGCACCUCGAUGUCGGCUCAUCACAUCCUGGGGCUGAAGUAGGUCCCAAGGGUAUGGCUGUUCGCCAUUUAAAGUGGUACGCGAGCUGGGUUUAGAACGUCGUGAGACAGUUCGGUCCCUAUCUGCCGUGGGCGCUGGAGAACUGAGGGGGGCUGCUCCUAGUACGAGAGGACCGGAGUGGACGCAUCACUGGUGUUCGGGUUGUCAUGCCAAUGGCACUGCCCGGUAGCUAAAUGCGGAAGAGAUAAGUGCUGAAAGCAUCUAAGCACGAAACUUGCCCCGAGAUGAGUUCUCCCUGACUCCUUGAGAGUCCUGAAGGAACGUUGAAGACGACGACGUUGAUAGGCCGGGUGUGUAAGCGCAGCGAUGCGUUGAGCUAACCGGUACUAAUGAACCGUGAGGCUUAACCUUACAACGCCGAAGCUGUU
rnacentral:rRNA from 1 species